AGAUUGAACGCUGGCGGCAGGCCUAACACAUGCAAGUCGAGCGGUAGAGAGGUGCUUGCAUCUCUUGAGAGCGGCGGACGGGUGAGUAAUGCCUAGGAAUCUGCCUAGUGGUGGGGGAUAACGUUCGGAAACGGACGCUAAUACCGCAUACGUCCUACGGGAGAAAGGCGGGGGACCUUCGGGCCUCGCGCCAUUAGAUGAGCCUAGGUCGGAUUAGCUAGUUGGUGAGGUAAUGGCUCACCAAGGCGACGAUCCGUAACUGGUCUGAGGGGAUGAUCAGUCACACUGGAACUGAGACACGGUCCAGACUCCUA
rnacentral:rRNA from 1 species